AACGAACGCUGGCGGCAGGCUUAACACAUGCAAGUCGAACGCAUCCUUCGGGGUGAGUGGCAGACGGGUGAGUAACGCGUGGGAACGUGCCCUUCAGUUCGGGAUAACCCAGGGAAACUUGGGCUAAUACCGGAUACGUGCGAGAGCAGAAGGAUUUAUCGCUGAAGGAUCGGCCCGCGUCUGAUUAGCUAGUUGGUGGGGUGAUGGCCCACCAAGGCGACGAUCAGUAGCUGGUCGGAGAGGAUGAUCAGCCACAUUGGGACUGAGACACGGCCCAAACUCCUACGGGAGGCAGCAGUGGGGAAUAUUGGACAAUGGGCGCAAGCCUGAUCCAGCCAUGCCGCGUGAGUGAUGAAGGCCUUAGGGUUGUAAAGCUCUUUCGUCCGGGACGAUAAUGACGGUACCGGAAGAAGAAGCCCCGGCUAACUUCGUGCCAGCCGCCGCCGUAA
rnacentral:rRNA from 1 species